AUUUUUGACAAAAAGGGGGAGAGCAAUGAUGAACAGGUAUGGGUCGUAGCAAAGGAGAAUAAAGAAUAAAGAACAAAGGGGGAGAAGGAAUGAAUGAAAUUAUGAGGAGAAGAAGGAAUGAAAUUUCGAGAACAAUGAUGAGGAAAAUGACUUCAAUGUGAGAAUGUCUAAUGUUUGUCGUUUUCUACAUUAUUUUGCGC
rnacentral:lncRNA from 1 species